GACGAACGCUGGCGGCGUGCUUAACACAUGCAAGUCGAACGCUGAAGCCCUUUCGGGGGUGGAUGAGUGGCGAACGGGUGAGUAACACGUGGGUAAUCUGCCCUGCACUCUGGGAUAAGCCUUGGAAACGGAGUCUAAUACCGGAUAGGACACAUCGCCGCAUGGUGUGUGUGUGGAAAGUUCUGGCGGUGCAGGUUGAGCCCACGGCCUAUCAGCUUGUUGGUGGGGUGAUGGCCUACCAAGGCGACGACGGGUAGCCGGCCUGAGAGGGUGACCGGCCACACUGGGACUGAGACACGGCCCAGACUCCUACGGGAGGCAGCAGUGGGGAAUCUUGCGCAAUGGGCGAAAGCCUGACGCAGCAACGCCGCGUGGGUGAUGACGGCCUUCGGGUUGUAAACCUCUUUCGACCGGGACGAAGGGUGACUGACGGUACCGGUAGAAGAAGCACCGGCUAACUACGUGCCAGCCGCCGCUGUAA
rnacentral:rRNA from 1 species